rnacentral:rRNA from 1 species
CCUACGGGUGGCAGCAGUGGGGAAUAUUGCACAAUGGGCGAAAGCCUGAUGCAGCAACGCCGCGUGAGCGAUGAAGGCCUUCGGGUCGUAAAGCCCUGUCAUCAAGGAAGAAAAUGACGGUACCUGAAGAGGAAGCCCCGGCUAACUACGUGCCAGCAGCCGCGGUAAUACGUAGGGGGCUAGCGUUAUCCGGAAUUACUGGGUGUAAAGGGUGCGUAGGUGGGUUCUUAAGUCAGAGGUGAAAGGCUGGGGCUCAACCUUAGUAAGGCUUUGAAACUGGGAAGCUUGAGUGCAGGAGAGGUGAGCGGAAUUCCUAGUGUAGCGGUGAAAUGCGUAGAUAUUAGGAGGAACACCAGUUGCGAAGGCGGCUUUCUGGACUGUAACUGACACUGAGGCACGAAAGCGUGGGGAGCAAACAGGAUUAGAUACCCCUGUAGUC